UAUUUUCUAUUAAUUGUUUUUUCUCUUUAUAUAUGUUUUUGUAUAUUUCUUAUUGUAACGCAGAGCUCCACAGAUUCUUGGUGUGUGAUAUACCUUGUAAAAAUUGUUAGAUUCUUAUUUUUAAUAAUGAUGAAGGGAUUUGGAAUUGCAAGAGCAAUAGAAAGGAAUGCGUGUUAGGUGGUUCUUGAAAUUUUAAUGUACCUACCUAUCUUCUAUUCCUUCUGUCAUUCGACAUUCGAAAAAGGGAAAGAGGUCUUGUAGAGAAAAUCUGAGUUAGUUUACAUGCAGAAAUUUGCAGUUGGUGCUUAAAAGUAAGAUGGGCUGAAAGAAUCAUGGAGGACUAGUCUAAGAUGACCUUGAGUUUAAUCUUUCCUAAUUCUGGUGCUUUUGUGAAGAUAUUGAUUCUCUACUAUCAGUGAUUUGUGUGGGUUGUUGACUGAAUGGAAAAGCUGGUUUUGUACAUGAAUGCCACUAAUGUUACUUACUAGCUUAUUUGGAUCAAGAAAAUAAUGAAGUUUUUGACAAAUA